rnacentral:rRNA from 1 species
UACGUAGGGUGCAAGCGUUAAUCGGAAUUACUGGGCGUAAAGCGUGCGCAGGCGGUUGUGUAAGGCAGAUGUGAAAUCCCCGGGCUCAACCUGGGAACUGCAUUUGUGACUGCACGGCUGGAGUGCGGCAGAGGGGGAUGGAAUUCCGCGUGUAGCAGUGAAAUGCGUAGAUAUGCGGAGGAACACCGAUGGCGAAGGCAAUCCCCUGGGCCUGCACUGACGCUCAUGCACGAAAGCGUGGGGAGCAAACAGG